CAACCAAGAGCGACGCUGGCCGCCUCGCACACCUCGCUAGAGGACAGAUCGGGGUUCUUUUCCUGACCUUGUGACUUCCAUCGUCGAAAUGUCGGCCCCAGACACGUUGAAUCGGUUUGAAUUGACCGGUCCGCAAGACAAAGAUCACAAUAAGAAACCAAAAAGGAAAACCAAGCCACAGCAGGAUAAUUGGAGCAGGUUUCGGGAGCUGUACCUGGCGGUCAGCGUCUCCGCUUUUUUAGACCGGUGUAUGGAGGAGAAAUACGGGAAGCCGAGACCGCGAUGAAGAUAGACGCGGAGGGAACUGCAACACUAUCAAAUAUGCGGAAACGUAUCCCACACACAGAGUCCAAGAGGGUUAGAGCGGGAAAGGCAGAGAGACGAGAGAGAGGGAGUUUGUUCAGAAAGAGUUGUACAGAAAGAAAGAAAGAGGGAGUUUGUUCAGAAAAAGGCACAGAGGGACUGAGGAAGCGAAGGACAGUGAUGAAGCAGGAGCAGAAUCCGCCAUACUGCGCUCCUUUUGGAGCUAAAUUGUUCCUAUCUGCGUGUGCAUUGACAGUACAGAGUCGUGCGGGUCAGAACUUGGUGCAUUGCCAAGUUUGGGGAGAGAACAGACAGCGUUUCAGGCCUCAGAGCGAGGUUCCAUCAGCCCGGGCAACGUGUGUGUUGGAUACGCUCCCGCAUUGGAGAGUGGAGCGCGGUUCCUGGCCGGUGUCUGUGUCUGCAUUCAUUCAGUUUUCUCUCCAAUGUGUGACUCUGUUCGCCGGUGGAACACACACGCACAAUAAAGAAGCCAUACUUCA